rnacentral:rRNA from 1 species
CGCCUUCUUGCAAAUAAACAAGCAUAAGAGGUCUAGCCUGCCCAGUGACAAACUGUUCAACGGCCGCGGUAUUCUGACCGUGCAAAGGUAGCGUAAUCACUUGUCUUUUAAAUAAAGACUGGUAUGAAAGGCACCACGAGGAUUCAACUGAUCUCUUAUUUAGUCAGUGAAACUGAUCUUCCAGUGCAGAAGCUGGAAUAACUACACAAGACGAGAAGACCCUAUGGAGCUUUAAACACAAGUCACUUACCCUAUUUUUUCAAUCAAAAGAUAAAACUUACUUAAUUGAGUAUGAAUGACCUAGCGUUUUUGGUUGGGGCGACCACGGAGAAUAAAAAAUCCUCCGAGAAGAAAGGACAACUUCCUAAAAAAAGAACGACGGUUCUAAAUAUCAGAAUAUCUGACCUGCUUGAUCCAGUCUUACUGAUCGACGAACCAAGUUACCCUAGGGAUAACUGCGCAAUCUACUUAGAAAGUUCAUAUCGACAAGUAGGUUUACGACCUCGAUGUUGGAUCAGGGCACCC